rnacentral:rRNA from 1 species
GAUGAACGCUAGCUACAGGCUUAACACAUGCAAGUCGAGGGGAAACGACAUCGAAAGCUUGCUUUUGAUGGGCGUCGACCGGCGCACGGGUGAGUAACGCGUAUCCAACCUGCCCAUCACUUGGGAAUAACCUUGCGAAAGUAAGACUAAUACCCAAUGAUAUCCCACGAAGGCAUCGGAAUGGGAUUAAAGAUUUAUCGGUGAUGGAUGGGGAUGCGUCUGAUUAGCUUGUUGGCGGGGUAACGGCCCACCAAGGCAACGAUCAGUAGGGGUGCUGAGAGGAAGGUCCCCCACAUUGGAACUGAGACACGGUCCAAACUCCGACGGGAGGCAGCAGUGAGGGAUAUAGGUCAAUGGGCGAGAGCCUGAACCAGCCAAGUAGCGUGCAGGAAGACGGCCCUAUGGGUUGUAAACUGCUUUUAUAAGGGAAUAAAGUGGGUCACGUGUGACUUUUUGCAUGUACCUUAUGAAUAAGGACCGGCUAAUUCCG